GGGAAAUGAACUUUUUCUUACACACAUUAUGCAUUACAAAGUUCAAUUGAAAACAAAAUAAAUACAUGAUACACCAAAUAUAAGAAAUAUAAUAUAAGAUUACAUAGAUAAUCUAUUUAACUUAUAACCCCCUUUAGUAAUAUUAUAUACUAAGUAGACACACUAUGGAGCACAACAGUCUCAACAGUAAGCCCAGGCCCAAAUCCAAAAAGUACACCCCAAUCAAGGCCUUCACCUGUGGUACUAAGCCCUUCUUUGGAUGAGGCCUUUCUCAUUUCAUCUAAAAUAAAUAGAACACAAGCACUAGACAUAUUUCCAUAGUCACUUAAAACUUGCCUAGUAGCCCGAAGUUUUUCGGGCUUUAGGCUCAGUUUUAGUUCAACUUGAUCUAGAAUCGCCGGCCCACCAGGGUGCGCGAUCCAAAAGAUGGAAUUCCAAUCAGAAAUGCCUAACGGUUGGAAUGCUUCAAUUAAACUCUUUUCAAUGUUUUUCGAGAUCAAUCCAGGAACAUCUUUGAGCAAGUGAAAUGUUAGCCCAACUUCGCGAAGGUGACCAUCAAUAGCACCUUCGCUAUCAGGGAGUAGAGUUUGGGCUGCAGAGACGAGUUCAAACAAAGGCCUUUCAACUUCUGGUAAUGGAUCUGAACCUAUAAUCAUUGCGGCUGCCCCAUCACCAAAAAGGGCUUGUCCAACCAUACUAUCCAAAUGAGUAUCACUUGGACCACGAAAAGUAACUGCAGUGAUCUCUGAGCAAACAACAAGAACUCGAGCACCCUUGUUGUUCUCAGCUAAGUCCUUUGCCAGUCGGAUAACGGUCCCACCAGCAAAGCAACCUUGUUGAUACAUCAUGAGCCGCUUAACCGAAGGUCGAAGCCCAAGAAGCUUGGUGAGUUGGUAGUCGGCCCCAGGCAUGUCCACCCCACUAGUGGUGCAAAAGACCACAUGGGUGAUCUUGGACUUGGGCUGACCCCAUUCUUUAAUGGCCUUUUGGGCUGCUUCUUUGCCAAGUUUUGGCACUUCAACCACCACUAUAUCUUGUCUAGCAUCCAAAGAAGGAGCCAUGUAUUCACAAAUAUUUGGGUUUUCUUUUAAAAUUUCUUCAGUUAAAUGCAUAUAUCUCUUAUUAAUCAUCGAUUUAUCACACAUGCGCUUAAAUUUCUCCUUAAGCUCAGUCAUAUGUUCACUAUUAGUGAUUCGAAAAUAAUAAUCAGGAUAAGUGCUUUGAUCAACACAGUUCGAAGGAGUCGCCGUGCCUAUGGCCAUGAUAGUAGCUGGUCCCUUUGCACGUUGCGCCCUUCGAACCUCCUCAACGGUGACCAUUUUCGCGGUUUUUUUUUUUUUUUU
rnacentral:misc_RNA from 1 species